rnacentral:rRNA from 1 species
UAUUGGGCAACGGGCGCAAGCCUGACCCAGCAACGCCGCGUGAAGGAAGAAGGCUUUCGGGUUGUAAACUUCUUUUCUCAGGGACGAAGAAAGUGACGGUACCUGAGGAAUAAGCCACGGCUAAAUACGUGCCAGAACCCGCGGUAAUACGUAGGUGGCAAGCGUUGUCCGGAUUUACUGGGUGUAAAGGGCGUGCAGCCGGGAAGACAAGUCAGAUGUGAAAUCCCGCGGCUCAACCGCGGAACUGCAUUUGAAACUGUUUUUCUUGAGUACCGGAGAGGUCAUCGGAAUUCCUUGUGUAGCGGUGAAAUGCGUAGAUAUAAGGAAGAACACCAGUGGCGAAGGCGGAUGACUGGACGGCAACUGACGGUGAGGCGCGAAAGCGUGGGGAGCAGACAGG